rnacentral:rRNA from 1 species
GAUUAUGGCUCAGGACAACGCUGGCGGCGUGCCUAACACAUGCAAGUCGAGCGGAGACAGAUUGUGAAGCGGAAGUUUCGGAUGGAUGUGGAACGAUUUGUUUAGCGGCGGACGGGUGAGUAACGCGUGAGCAACCUGUCCUUCAACAGGGGGAUAACACAGCGAAAGUUGUACUAAUACCGCAUAAGACCACGGAGAGACAUCUCUCAGGGGUCAAAGGAGCAAUCCGGUGAAGGGUGGGCUCGCGUCCGAUUAGAUAGUAGGUGAGGUAACGGCCCACCUAGUCGACGAUCGGUAGCCGACCUGAGAGGGUGAUCGGCCACAUUGGGACUGAGACACGGCCCAAACUCCUACGGGAGGCAGCAGUGGGGAAUAUUGGGCAAUGGGGGAAACCCUGACCCAGCAACGCCGCGUGAGGGAAGAAGGUUUUCGGAUCGUAAACCUCUGUCCUUGGUGAAGAGGAAGAGACGGUAGCCAAGGAGGAAGCCCCGGCUAACUACGUGCCAGCAGCCGC